rnacentral:rRNA from 1 species
GACGAACGCUGGCGGCGUGCCUAAUACAUGCAAGUCGAACGCAGUGGGGACGGGUGAGUAACACGUGGGUAACCUCCCAUCAGAGGGGAUAACACUUGGAAACAGGUGCUAAACCGAUACUGAUGGAGGAACCCGCGGUGCUUUAGCUUGGUGGUGGGGUAACGGCGAAGCAAGGCUACGAUGCAUAGCGGACAUGAGAGGGUGAUCGGCAACACUGGGACGGAGACACGGCCCAGACUCCUACGGGAGGCAGCAGUAGGGAAUCUUCGGCAAUGGGCGAAAGUCUGACCGAGCAACGCCGCGUGUGUGAAGAAGGUUUUCGGAUCGUAAAACUCUGUUGUUAGAGAAGCGGUAUCUAACCAGAAAGCCACGGCUAACUACGUGCCAGCAGCCGCGGUAAUUC